rnacentral:lncRNA from 1 species
UGGGUCUUUAUGGGGUCCCGUGGGGUUUGAUGGGGUCUCUAUGGGGUUUUAUGGGGUCUCUAUGGGGCUCUGUGGUCUUUAUGGGGUCCCGUGGGGUUUUAUGGGGUCUCUAUGGGGUUUUAUGGGGUCCCGUGGGGUUUUAUGGGGUCUCUAUGGGGCUCUGUGGUCUUUAUGGGGUCCCAUGGGGUUUUAUGGGGGGUUUUAUGGGGUCUCUAUGGGGCUCAAUGGGGCUCUGUGUCUCCAUGGAGUCUCUAUGGGGCUCUAUGGGGUCUGUGCGAUUCCAUGGGGUUUAUGGGGUGCCUGUGGGUCUCUAUGGGUCCUAUGGGGAUCUAUGGGGUCUCUAUAGGGUUCUUUGGGACCUAUGGGGUCCAUAGGGCUGCAUCGGGUCCCUAUGGGGUCUCUGUGGGGCUCAAUGGGGAUCUAUGGGGCCUGUAUGGGAUCAGUGGGGCUCCACGGGUUCUCUAUGGGAUCUCCGUGCGUUUUUGGGGCGCUUUGAGGCGCUUUUGGGGCCGUUUCGGGGGUCCCGCGCCCCCUCCCAGGCCACGGAGGGCGGGACUUUGCUCAGUGCCGCGCUCCCAUUGGUCACCGGGGAACCCCCGCGCCAUCUCAUUGGUCGUCCCGGGAGGGGAGGAAGGGGAGGGGUCAGCCCGCCUCCAUCCCAUGGUUCCCGGGUGGAGCUGCACAAGAUGGCGGCGGGCGCGGAGCACGCUGGGAGUCGCAGUUCUUCGGAGCCCGUUUAGAACGGCAGGAAGCGGAAGCGCGGACUACAGCUCCCGGCAUCCCCGGCGAGAGGGAGAGCGGGAGGCAGCCUAAGAUGGCGGCCGCGCGCGGUGCAUGCUGGGAGCGGUAGUCCCGCGCUCAACUCACCGCCGUUCUGAGAGCGGGAGGCGGGAACUACAACUCCCAUCGCCCCGCCCCCCCCGCGCGCGCGGCCGCCGUUGGACCGGAAGUGGAGGCGGAGCCGCGUGGCGUCGCCUCGCGUCGCUUCGGGCGUUCGUGUGUGGCGGCCGUUGCUGCAGCGCGGAGAGGAGAUUUGGGUGCGUGGCGGAUAGCGGAGCGGAGGCCGAUAGGUGAGAAGCGGGAGGGAACCGGGAGGGGGUGGGGAUAACGGGGGAGGGGGGGGCGGGAAACGAAACGGA